CCCGCCACUGCACCUGACCACUUCCCCGUUGGCUGGUGCAAUCCAGUGGUGAGCUGACAGUGACCCCAGCUAAGGAAACAGGGCUGUUCUUGGUGUGGGCAGCCCUGUGCCGAGAGCAUGGGCACAGCC
rfam:Cavia porcellus supercont2_27 genomic scaffold, whole genome shotgun sequence.